GACGAACGCUGGCGGCGUGCUUAACACAUGCAAGUCGAGCGGUAAGGCCCUUUCGGGGGUACGACGAGCGGCGAACGGGUGAGUAACACGUGGGUGACCUGCCCUCAGCUCUGGGAUAAGCCCGGGAAACUGGGUCUAAUACUGGAUAUGACUCCAUGACGCAUGUUGUGGGGUGGAAAGCCUUGUGCGGCUGAGGAUGGGCCCGCGGCCUAUCAGCUUGUUGGUGGGGGAUGGCCUACCAAGGCGACGACGGGUAGCCGGCCUGAGAGGGCGACCGGCCACACUGGGACUGAGACACGGCCCAGACUCCUACGGGAGGGCAGCAGUGGGGAAUCUUGCGCAAUGGGCGAAAGCCUGACGCAGCGACGCCGCGUGAGGGAUGACGGCCU
rnacentral:rRNA from 1 species